CAAUUAGGAUACUGUUCCUGUGUC
rnacentral:misc_RNA from 1 species